UUUGAUCAUGAAACAGAUUGAACGCUGGCAGGAUGCUUUACACAUGCAAGUCGAACGGCAGCGGACUUCCGGUCUGGUGGCGAGUGGCGAACAGGUGAGUAAUGUAUCGGAACGUGCCUGGUAGCGGGGGAUAACUGCACGAAAGCGUAGCUAAUACCACAUACGCCCUUCGGGAAAGCGGGGGACCUUCGGGCCUCGCACUAUUAAGAGCAGCCGAUAUCGGAUUAGCUAGUUGGUGGGGUAACGGCUCGCAAGGCGACGAUCCGUAGCUGGUUUGAGAGGACGACCAGCCACACUGGGACUGAGACACGGCCCAGACUCCUACGGGAGGCAGCAGUGGGGAAUUUUUGGACAAUGGGGGAAACCCUGAUCCAGCCAUCCGCGUGUGCGAUGAAGGCCUUCGGGUUGUAAGCACUUUUGGCGGAAAAGCAGCGGGAUAAUACCCCGUGCAACUGACAGUACCUGCGAAUAAGCACCGGCCGCUACGUGCCAGCAGCCGCGGUAAUACGUAAGUGCAAGCGUUAAUCGGAAUUACUGGGCGUAAAGCGUGCGCAGGCGGUUCGGAAGAAGAUGCGCGAAAUCCAGAGCUUAACUUUGGAACUGCAUUUUUAACUACCGAGCUAGAGUGUGUCAGAGGAGGUGGAAUUCCGCGUGUAGCAGUGAAAUGCGUAAGAAUGUGCGGAGGUACCGAUAUGGCGAAGGCAGCCUCCUGGGAUAACACUGACGCUCAUGCACAGCGUGGGAGCAAACAGGAUUAGAUACCCUGGUAGUCCACGCCCUAAACUUGAUAUCCCAGCUAGCUGUUGGGGCCUUCGGGCCUUGGUUAGCGCAACUAACGCGUGAAGUUGACCGCCUGAAGGCCACGGUCGCAAGAUUAAAACUCAAAGGAAUUGGCGGGGACCCGCACAAGCGGUGGAUGUGGAUUAAUUCAGGUGCAGCAGAAAAACCUUACCUACCCUUGACAUGUCUGGAAUCCCGAAGAGAUUUGGGAGUGCUCGCAAGAGAACCGGAACUGGUGCUGCAUGGCUGUCGUCAGCUCGUGUCGUGAGAUGUUGGGUAAGUCCCGCAACGAGCGCAACCCUUGUCAUUAGUUGCUACGAAAGGGCACUCUAAUGAGACUGCCGGUGACAAACCGGAGGAAGGUGGGGAUGACGUCAAGUCCCUCAUGGCCCUUAUAGGUAGGGCUUCACACGUCGCUACAAUGGUCGGGACAGAGGGUCGCCAACCCGCGAGGGGGAGCCAAUCCCGAAACCCGAUCGUAGUCCGGAUCGCAGUCUGCAACUCGACUGCGUGAAGUCAGAUGCUGGUAAUCGCGGAUCAGCGUGUCGCACGAAUGAAUACGUUCCCGGGUCUUGUACACACCGCCCGUCACACCGUGGGAAUUGGGUUUUGCAGAAGUAGUUAGCCUAACCGUAAGGAGGGCGAUUACCACGGUAGGAUUCAUGACUGGGGUGCGAAGUCGUAACAAGGUAG
rnacentral:rRNA from 1 species